rnacentral:tRNA from 1 species
AGUUAAUUAGUUUAAGUAAAACGAAAAUUUUGUAAGUUUAAGAUCUAAUUAAAUA